CAGGGGCUUACCCCGCAAGGGCAGCAGGCGCCCACUCGUGCUACUUAAAAAUGAAAAUUCAACAAACAUCAGCCAUCCGCUGACAGAUGAAGGAAUACGGAUGGCGACCUUGUUAUUUGUCUGAUACGCAGCGAGCUGAGGAAUUAAAUGGAGUUUCGAGUUCUCUAGACAAGAGGCUCGAAAAGUUCCUCCAGGUUCAAAGACAAGAAAAAUGCCUCUUAGAGGAGCAGGAGGGAGCUGCAAUAGAAAUAGUUUCAGAACCGCAUUUUUCUACACUGUUUUUUCAUGUUUUUUCCAUGUUUUAGUGUAGGCGGCUGCUUGGAGGCCUGGGAAUUUGACACCUUUCCCUGGGGCCGGGACCCCUUCGAAGCAGACGUGCAGUGGGUUUGGGCUCACGGCAGAGCAACUUUGAGGCUCGGGACCCUCAUCCCAGCAGGGUGUUCACACCAGCUUCACGCACACCACUUUGGGUCAAAAGGGAAUAAAAAAGCUGGGUUCAAAGACGCAAGAGCUCAGGGAACCGUCAGAAACCAUCCCUUACGAACCUGACUGCUCGCCCAGAGCCCUGCAAGCUCUCAGCAGCUGGCAAAGGUCUCCAGGGCACGCCGGUGGCCAGAGAAAAGCCAAGGGCCACUCGUGCUGGCCAGUUCCUCGGCAUUUCUGAGAAUUACACUAACAGAAUUUGCCAUCCCGAAUCAGCUUAGGCCCACUCUGGCAGCUGGCUCCACGCAGGGUGGCAAUCAGGAGAGCAGAUUAGCCGGCCCCAGCUCCAGCCCCAGCCCGAGCAGCGAGACUUGGGAGAUGGGAAAUGAUUUUACCUGCCCAAAUAAAAGGACACCACAAACACAGCCCCCGCUGGGAAUCGCCUGAGGAGCACACACAAGUAUUUUGCAUAGCAGGAACACCCACCCUGCACCUUGUGUUAACUGCCAGAGGUGCAGUUUGCUGCAGACCUAGCGCCAUCCCCAUCUUCCCAUCAGGAAGCUCCCGGUGGACACCACCAGGAUGUCAUCUUCCCUGAAUUCCCCCUGAUGGAGACCACCCGGAUGUCAUCGCCCCUGAUUUCCCUGGCAGACACCGCCGGGAAGUCACCUUCCCUGACUUCCCCCCGAUGGACACCACCAGGACACCAGGACCCAGCUUUCGCCUUGCCUGGAGCCGCACGCCUCCGUGCCGAGCUCCCACCACCCCUUCCCACCUUUCUUUUUCUCUUCUCCUCCUGCCUUACCUGACUCAGCCAAAAGCAGCCUCCUGCAGCCCCCCCGCAGCCCCCUUGAGCCCUGCACGCCUACACGGGGGGCGUUGAAGGGCGCCAGCGCCCCGGAUCCCCCCUCUCAUUCCGCACUGUGAUGCGAAGCUCGGGCUGCCUCCGAGUCCAGUGGCUUGAGCUAGAUUAGGGCUCCGAUCAGAGGGGCUUACACGGCAGAAGAGGAAGCAAGAGGAGUUUUGGAGCCUGCCCUAGCUGGUCAGCGGGCUCCUGGCGGAUAGGAGGAGGGGAAGCCUCUUUGCAGGGAUUUACGAGGCUGCCUUCGGAUUUCGCCCCAGCCCCCUGCUGGAGUAUCUUGCCGUCGUGCGUUUCAGAGCUACGAGAUGGGCCGUGGGUAGCUAAGUUCUUCCUCCCCCAAAAUCCUGCUUUCUUGGGAAGCCUUUAAGCAGUUGAACGCGUAGAGCGGAUCAAAGGGAAGGCAGAAGAUCUUAUUUACCAGCUAAUUCCCUUUGACUCUUCCCAUCCCGGGCUCAGCCCGACCGGUUGGAAAUCGGAGCAUCUCUGCUGCUGCAGGCUCGCGGGCCUGUGUCAGUUGGCGUUCACCAACAAAAAAAGGUGGCAGUGCCAUCUUUCCGCGGUGCUGCCCUUGGAAAGUCCCACCACGUGCCCAGGAAAGGCUGGAUGACAGCACAUGGCAGUACAGCCAACUGCUCCUGCGGUCUCACCGCCCGCUGUGGGCAUCUAUCCAUAUAUCCAUGUAUCCGCCCGCUGCUGCUAAAGGGGAUGUGACAGGGGAGGAAAAGUGCCCCUUCGGAUGGCCAAGGGGAGAAAAAAUCCAGCCCCAGCGUUCCCAGUACCGCGCUUGUUACCACGCGCUGUGAUACCACACGCUGCAAUAAGCGGUCAGUGCGGUCGGGGCGCGUUAUUUUCCAGCUACAAAAGCCAUGUUGGUGCGUGCUUGGAUGGGGGGAUAAAAUGGGAAAGAAAAGUUUCCCAAAAUGCUGCUGGAGUGUUUAUGAAUUGGGACCUGCCCCAUGGAGCCUCCUGUCCCCCGGCUGCAAGUUGCACCGUGGGGAGGAAGAAGUUGCUUUCCCGAGGCACCGCGCUGCCCCAGGAAGGAAAGCAGACAUCAUCCCACCGCACAGCAGCUGCCGCCCUCUUCUCUGUCACUCCCGUGGAACAAUUAUAAAGGCUGUUCCUGCGAUGGCAGCCAAGUGAGAUCCCUUUCUCACAGCUGUCGGUGGCAAAAGGAGCCUGGCGGGGCUCAUCUGCUCGGGGACGCUUGCAAUCUACCACGAGCAGGACCAGUGGCACGGCCAGAGGUUCCUCGUGGCUGUCACCAUUUUCUUCCUUAACAUGAGGUCAGGAACAAAAUGACAGGACUGAUUUCAUGCUGCAGCGGGUACCAGGACACGUCCCAGGGCCGGGAAAGGCUGACGGACCAAGGGCUAAAACCCCAGGCUGGUGCUGAGCCAGCGGGGCCGCGCGGAGCUGUGCGCUCGGGGAGGUGCACGGUGCUGCACAGCACCGGGUCGGGGCGCUCGGGGUGCUCCCGGCCACGAGCAGCGGCUCCGUGACAGCAGCUCCGCUCUUCACCUUCAUGCAGGCUCCCGAGCACCGUCUCCAUUUUACAACUGCUCCGCAGCGCAGCCGCGUGCCGUAGGACCCAGCAGAGCCGACUGCCGGUCUGAGAGCCACAGCUCCUGCUAAUUUGGUCUCUCCGCAGGCUUUCUGUAGCGGCACGCGUACAGCAGCAUCCAUUUGCUGCGCCAGAGCCACCGGCUAGAGAAAUGUCCGCAGCCCGGGGGGAACGCCAGGCUCAGGUCACCCGCACAGGGCACAGCCCAUCGGCACCGAGGAGUCCAACCGUUCCGCAUUUAGGUGCCAAAAAACGCAGAGCCCCCAGCGAGGAGAGAAGGCAGGGCUCUCCCUGCAGCACGCGGCCACCCCCCUGCCAGCCCCCCGAGUCUCUUCUUUCUUUGCUGCAGCAGGAGUUGGCUGCCUCCUGCCUUCGCUGCGGUGCUCAGAGCCAGGCAGGGCCACAUCCUGCACUGCCCGGGAGCAGCCUCAGGGCGAGCACCAAGCAGGCUGAGCACCAGCCCCUUCCCCUGCCUCGCUCCGUGCCGUGGUGCUGACACCAAGCAGACGGGAUCUGCGUGCAGCCAGACUACGACUUAAGGAGAAGGAACCCUCGUUUGCACCUGUAAAUGGACCUGGAGAUGCGGGUAGGUGCUGUCGCCUUCCACCUCGGCCACCAUCACGCCCGCGCACGCCCCGCACAAGCAGGAUUUGUGCGUGGCACUGAGCACCGCGAGCUCCUCGCCCCGGGUUUGCAGCUCCGGAGGGGGAAGCAGGGAUCUUGCCGUCCAGCUGCCAUCCAGCCACACCCAGCACCAGGUUUUGGGAAAGAUGCUGUCGAGACACAAGGCGUGCGUGCUGCUUGCUCGCUUUGAUCUCAGCCGCUCCUCCCGCUUUGAUUUCGCGGCGCUGACGCUUGCUGCGCCCUGACAGCGCAGCCUGGGCAGAAGUUCGGUGAAUGUUCAGUUCAGUAACGAGGACACUGAAUUUAAAAGACGCCCCGGGCCACAGCCCUAGCCUACAGACGUGUGAUCCCAGCCAGCGCGGACGGGAUGGAGCCAGGAAGGUGCUGGGGACACCACGAGGGUGCGAGAGAUUUUCUCAGGGCAAGGAAAACAUUCAAGCCAUCUCCUCGGGCUGGCCUUUCUGUUACGUUGAGCCGUUCCAACACACAGCUAGAAAUGAAAACAAUGACGACAGCACCGUCUGCUCCAGGUGCCGCCACGCCACCACGGCCUAGGGCACGCAGGAGCAGGCGUUAUCAUCAGCUGGCCCCAAAAAUCCCCCCUUUCCUCUGCUGUGGCAGCACAGGUCCCCCCGCGGUCUUGUGUCAGACCAGCACCAGUGUUCAUCUCACCAGGACGUCACCGUGAGCCACCUGAUACCCAAAGUGGGCACCAAACACCCUGUGGCCCCGCAGCGACCAGCUCCAGCAUCCCACAGAGGACUGGAAGCAGUGGAAGGCAGCGGGACACCUCACUGUGGCUGUCCCUAUACCUAUAGGGGAAAAAGUCAGCGCUCUUCCACACUGCUGCCUCGCCGUAGAAGAAAGGAGCACAGCAGAGCUCACAGCCCUUCGGGGCUAUCACGCCAGCCAUCACUACGCAGGGCAUCCAGAGGAAGAUUUUAGCUUCUGUCCAGCUUUUCUGCAUCGUUCUGCUCUCCCCUACCAGGAAAAAUUACAGUUGAGGUCCAAAGCGAGUGUGCUUCAGCCUUUCUUCUUCCAGGCCAAAAGAUGCAAGCAACAGGAUCUUCAUCCAGCACUUCACCAUGCUUCUGUCGUCGCUGUCAUGUUGUUGCAGAGCAGCAGAAACAAAUCGCUCCCCUAAAUGCUCUACACCAAGGCAGAUCGGCACAAUGGUAUUUACUAAAAUCAGGGUUGGGUUGGUUAUUAAAUCCAUGUGAGAAGGGGCAGUAAGCAGAUCAAUACAGAAAAAAAUCCAGAUCUGGAAGAAGAAAUAUCAGCAGGAAAAGAGGGCAGGAAGCGGGGUGUGCCGGCGGAGGGAGAGGUUUGGGGACACUGCGCUGGGACAUCGGGGACACGGGUCCUGGUUCCAGCUCCGACCUCUGCACGCCACCAGCAGUGAGAGGUGUGACGGCACAGAGCGACGUCCACCCGGGCAUCCUGCAGCACAGCUCGACAGCCAGAGCUCUUAUUUCCAAAAGGAAAAGCCCCCGAAGCUGCGCUGUGCCUUGAUUUUUUGUAGGGAGGGAGCUCAGUUGGAACCGUGCUGAGGCACGCGACAGACGAGGAUAUUUAAGUGAGGUAGGAUGAACAACAGCACGUAAAAAUCAAGUGCUUGGGAGUCUCCCUUCAGCUCAUCUUCACCCCAUGAGGGCCACUCGGGACAAUGACCAGCUACCAAUCUCAUCUCGCCUCGAUUCUACCUUUCUCGAGCCGAUGAACAGAUUUACAACAGCAUGUGCAGGUGGCACCAACAGCGACACUCCGCGUGGGAAGCCAGGCCCUAAAUUCAGCCCGAGCGGUAGCCCCGUUAUUCCCCUUCCCAACCCAAAGGCUGCAGGACGAGAGGUUUAAAACCAGAACAAGCGUGCAUUUCAUCCUGUGGCAGUCAUCUAGGGGCCCAGGGGACGAGCAGUUGGAGUUGUCCACGUUUAAGCUCGCCCCACGUCUAGGAUUUGGGCUCCAUCCUCCCCAGCACGUUUGGUAAAAAUCAGCGAGGUGCAGUCAGUGUCCUCAGGGGCUUCGUCCCCCUCCAUCUAAAUGCAGCUCUGCUGUCACACGUCUGACACGCGCAACAGGACAGCCUGCUUGGGAGCCUUACCUCUUGCUUAAAAUAAUAUUGCUGCUGGGCUCGGGUUACGAGGAUCCAUUCACGCUCCGUAAGGUCAGGGCUCUCUCCGGGUCACCAAUACAAAGGCAGGAACGAACAGGGUGCCGGUACUGCAGUCGCGCUUCUUUUUAUUGCGGCACAGAGCAGAGGCUGGCUGCUAGAAGAGGCUCUGGGCACACCUGGAGCCCCCCCGAGGGAGGCAGGGAGCACUUGGCUGCGGCGGACGACGCUGGGCUUUGCUCCCACAGCGGGCUCGAGCUGCAGCAAAGCAAACCCCAUGGGCACACGAGGUGAGGGUCCGUGGUGUUUCCUGCCUGCAGCACCUGGUGGUCCUCGCUCGGCCCCCGAACCCUUCUGAUGCUUGCUGAUCGCUCCUCGGCAUCGCCCGGCACGCUCAGCUCGCUCCUGCUGGCUGCAGCUUGCCAGAAAUUUCGCAACGAGCACCAGCGAGGUGCAACGGCUCGAGCACAGAGGACGGGAUUCUGCCAUUUCAGGACUCGAAGCAAGCACCGAGAGGCUCUGGGAUGCUGGAAGAGCAAACAAGCCCGGGGAGCGAGCAGCCCCUCCGUCGGAGCAGUGCCUGAGCAGAGUCACUAAGGAAACCGGCUUCGGAGCUGCGCAGGGACCUCAGACAGCCCUGACAAUGAGCCCUAUUAUGAGGCACCAUAAAAGCACUGACAUAGUGGGGAGAUUAGGCGCUAAGAAGCGCUUUCACCUUAACCAGCGUUUACAACUCUCUUCCCCUCUAGCCUGGAGGAACCCGGGGGAAGAGGCACGGUAAUUCAGCUACCACUGAAGCAGGGAAAAGGCAAAACACACCCAAAGCAGGCUCCAAAACCGUCCGCGGGAGGAGGAUGCGCUGCCAGCAGCUCAGCACUGCUGCAGCUGAGAUUCCGGCACCAGCCGGCGCUGGAAGCCCAGCCCAGCACGUCAGCACCCUGCAGGGAGCUGGGCACGGGGUGCUCGCAGCCCCCCAGCUCCUGCCCGAGCACCAGAGGCUCCCCGAGCGCUGCAGAGCCCGGGUCUGGGUCUGCCGGGUGAGGUUUGUGACGGGAAGAGGGCCGGUUCCUGCCCCAGCUCCUGGUCAUCCUCCUCCUCGCAGGGCCCCGUGGCUGCCGUUGGCACGGGACAGGUCCCAAGCCCCGGUGCCAGCCCCGUCCGUCCCCAACGUGCUGGGUCCCGGCUGCGCCCCCCAGCAUCGCCCGCUGCUUCUGCCUGCCCCGCUCCGCACCAGCAGAAGGCACGGGAGAGCACGGGGGUUUCUGUCCCGUUUGGAGAGGUCCGUUCCUAAAAGUGGCUUCUUAAAACGGGGGCAGCAACGAGGCAGUGGUGAAACCACGCUAAAAGAGGGGACUUCAGAAGGCAGAGCUCGCUCGGGGUAAAGCCUGCCCCCGAAUUCUGAGCUGAAACCACCAAAUUCUGCCCUGGGAGCACCUCCCAGCCCCGGGCUCCCCAACACCACAAGCUACAGCUUCGGGCACGUGAAUCGGGCACGUGAUUUGGCCCUGCAAAUCCAGCCCCAUCACAGUCCUCGCCUUCAAACCCCAAAGGGAAUUCGGUGCCAGCCGCUCACCCCAUCGCACGUGGGAUCUGCAGCGGGAGGGUAACGAAACACCGGGCAGCGGCACGGAGCCGCCAGCGCUUUGCACGAGGUGGGAGAGGAGCACGAGCCCCGUCUGCGCCGCUCCGUCGAGUUUCCUUUACCCCUGCCCGCACCACGGUGAGGGGCGUUUUCAGGUAAAGGUCGUAUUUUCGUUUUACGCCGAAGGCUCCUCCUGCCAGGCUGCAAAGCUACAAACCGACCUCUUAAAGCUCGUCCCAUGGGGCAUCCCUCCUCCUGGGAACGCCUUUCUGCUCGCCCCACCAGUCCGCACCCUGAACGCGCUCCCCGUGAGCCCCACACACCAGCACGGGGCCGUUUUGUCAUCGAAGAGCCCAGCACAAGCACAACUUCGGCCCGGCCACAGGGGUGCAGCCGCUGCCGACCGCUUCGAGGUCUCGCACCCCUGCCACUGCUGGACCUGCUGAGGUCCAACAGCCCCUUCCCAGCACGGGCACCCAGGUUGAAGACAGGCUGCUCAUCGCUCCUCAGCCCCUAUUUCACUUGACUCCAUGUCCUCGGCCCUCUUCUCGCCCCCAUUCCACCCACCUCGUGUCUCAGCACCGCUGGGAACGUCCCUUUCAGCCCCGCUGCAGUGGCCAGCCAUGAAACCAAAUCCUUGCCCACCGCUUUGUCCGCUGCCUCUCCUCUUAAUUCCUCAAUCGAGGACGUGCCCAGCUGGCCAGAUGUGUCCCUGCACCAGUUUCAGACUCAAAAGCGCAUCCCAAGCGCUUCUGCCCGAUACAAGACAGCAAAAAUGAGCAAAAUGGGCCCCAGGCCGGCACAAACGCGCACGUUACUGAGCUGGGCACUGCUCGAGGAUCACGGGAGAGGUUUCCCGAGAUGUGAGCAGUUUACAAACACCUCGAGGAAUUUCGUUUUGCAGCUAGCGACCUCACGCAGCGAUGAAACCCGUGGGAACGCCAUAGGGCACCUCCAGGCGGGCAGGAGCUGGUGGGGAGCCGUGCCCCGAGAUGCUCAGGAGCAGCAGAGAGCCCUGCAGCUCGGCACCGCGGGGGCUCAGAGCCCCAGACGUUAUUCAAAAACCCGAACACGAGUGGUUUUAGCAUCCCAGCUCCCCAUUUUUGACGGGACUUGCCAAAUGGGACAAGCACGGAGGCGGAGGUGGGCAGGCAGCGACACGGAGCUGCUCUGCAAGGAGUCAGGGCAGGUACAGAGGGGAGGCUGCAGGGAUGGAAAUAAUCAGCCCAGCUGCAGCACCGACCCCGUUAGCUCAACAGAAGGUAUCCCCUGGCGCUGCUUUUCCUUAGGUAUUUAAAGAGCAGGCACUGGGAACGGGAGCCAGGCUGCAUGUACCGACUGCCUCUGCUAAUCGGACUUCUUGGAAAGGAAAAGGGAAAAAAAUAAAAUAAAUCAGUGGCUUGAUGCUCCGAGAGCACGAAGGGCUCAUUAGACUUGCAAAGAAAAUCCACUCAAGUCUAAAGGCGCAAAUCCAUCUCCUCCAGACUCUGGGGUAAACUGCAUAUGCUUUCCACAGGCACUUAAAAUAAAACCCAGCCUACAAGCAGCAGAUUUCAGCGUGAAACAAAGCUCCACCUCGCAGAUGGAGGGGACCCAUCCUGCCACGAGAAAAGGCUGAGAUCCACUCAGCCCCUCAAGGCAGAGCUGCGCCCAUCUUAAAAAAAAAGAAUAGGUUACCUACAGGGCCACGAUUCUCUGCUAUUCCUGCCAAGCCCUGGGGCAAAUCCUUGGGAUCGAGGGCUGCUCGUGCCCCAAAGCUGAGCAGGAGCUCAGCUCCUCAAGGAUCGGUGCUCCGGCUCCAGGUACUGCUGCCAUCACCUCCUUUUCACGGCGUUCGACUACGGGGCAAGCACACGAGCGACCAGCCCUGGGUUUGAUCCUCAGCCUCCCGUGUCCCCGUGCAGCCAGGGAAGCGCGCUGUGCUCUACCAGGAAGGGCCGGCAGCGCUUUUCCAGACCACGAAGGUGGUCUGGAAGCCACAAACCCAGCCAGCAGGACAGCCACGGCCCUCCCACGCCCGUACCGAGCUCCAGCAGCUCCCGCACGUGCUCUCAGCAUCACCCAGACCACGCAUCCACGAGCAUCACGGGUCCACCACGAGCUUCCAGCCCCCAGUCCGGCCCCACACCUACUUGCAGCCAGCCUGCUAGCCGCCCGACCCCACCACCAGCAGGGGAAGGAGACUGGAAAACACUGGGAGCUGGGUGGGAGCCAGCCCUCGUCCUCUCUCGACCGAUCCAUCAAGCGGCAGGGCGCUGCCAGGUCGCCACGGCUAAAUUAGCAGCGCUCCCUCAAAGGAUGCGGAGCCACCACCGGCGCUGGGCUGGCAGAAGCAGCUCGUUCUGCCCAGGACAAGCUCAGGCCUACAGCUGAUGGAGCAGAUGCAAAAACGCACGCUUUAGGAGCGAGGCAGAGGAGCACCGAAGGCUGACUGAGGCACCCACCUCGCCAGCGUGCAUCGAGCGUCCCCGGUGAAACGCACCGAGCCCAGCACAGACAAGGCAGGGCCAGUGCCACCUUAUUUCCCCCAUUUCUCACCUCUCAGGGGGCUCCUCCUGGGGAAACGAGCACAGAUUUGCUUCCCCGCGGCUCUCGGGGUGGGGAAUAAGGGGAGAUUGCAGCACUGCCGGUUUGGGAUAGUUAAAAAUGCGGUCGCUUGUCCCAGCUGGGUUUGUUGAGCGUGGUGGGAAGGGGCAGUCGGGGUGGUGGGAAGGGGCAGUCGGUGCGGGAGGCUUUGGGCAGGAGGAGGCUGGCAGCAGAGGGCAGCGAGGCCACGGCACAGGGCGAGGGAGGCCAAACUGGAGGCUUGGUCUGGAACCACUUAAAGCAGUGUUUUAAAGGGGGGAGUAACGAGAGGCAGAGCCAAGACGGGUUACGGCCCCUACGGUGCCCUUGUCACCUGCGAGGACCGGCCCCGGCCCCUGCCUGGGGAGCUCCCGGUGGGGCACACGGGGGUCCUGUCCUCAUCCCACCUACGGAUAAAUGCACGUACACCAACCCUGGUGCCACCGGCCCCUCCUGGAGCAGGUGACAGCCUCGCUCCCCCAGGCAGAGCCCACGUCCCGAUGCGUCCCCCCGUCCCACCCGCUGGGACCUCCACAAGCUCACCUGAAAGCUGGGGCCGAGCAGCGAGCUGUCACAGAGCAGGGCCGGAUAAACGCCCUCGGAGAGCGCAGAUCUUCGUGUAAAGGCUUCAGAAGACUCCAGGAGAGCUUCGCGCUGCCCCCGUUAAAUCCUACGGACCUGCCCUAGCCCAGGGGCCGACCCCGACCAUCCUGCUGCACGAGACGACGACAGACCCACGGCACCGGGCUCCACGCACGCACUGACAGCCCAAUAACCCCUAAACCAAGCAAACCCAGGUCAGCAGCCCUCCCAGUCCAAGCUCUGUGUCCCAACGUCCUCAGAUCCUCUUCCUUUACACACGGCCUCGUGGAGGGCAGCCCCGAGCAGCCCCGGCAGCAUCGCCUUGCUCCGCCGCACGGGAACCGGGUGUCAAACCCCAAACCCUGCCCACGCCUUAACCCCAAAGGCUCGAAUCCAAGCCUUCGUCCCCCAGGGCAUUCAUCAGCCUCUGCUAACGCUGGGGGAUGUCACAGCCAACACCAUCCCCCGAACACCAUUGAUCCACCGAGGGCAAUAAUGAGAAAAAACGCUAUUUUUUAUCAGGCGUGAGUUAUCUGCCCGGAAAAGCCCCCACGUGCUGCGGGGAAGCGGGCCAGCACCUCGCUUUUCUCCUUAGCUGCACGCCUUGGAAAUAAAAAAAUCCCAAAUAUUUUGCGUAUCAAGGCGGAACGAAACCGGGUAAGGUUAUGAACGGGUCAGGUUGUUUCUCGUUUCUAGCGAAAACGGCGCUUUGAUGGUCCUUACGAGCAGCCCGUAAACGCCCAGCCGAGCACGAUUUUGAUUGCACACCUUGAAAAAAAUGGGGAAAAACAUGCACCGCAGAAGGGAAACCCUAAAACGAGGCAAAUCGGAGGUGCCGGCAGGGAAGAUUAAAGCAAGGAAACCUUCACCGGGUGCAGGGGCACGGCCCGGGGAUCCUCCCGGCAGCACCGCCGGCAGAUGGAAGGAGAAAUCCCCCGUAACGCGGUGGCAGCGCCAUCGGGCUGCGCGGCCAGGUGCUAAAAACCCGCUUUUCCCACCCAAAACCCGCGUGCGGGCGCCGAUCCCCGUCCCUCACCCCAAAAAUCGGCUCCCGCCCCGCACGGUGAGCGAAGUUCCCCCCCGGAUCGGAAAAAAAAAAAAAAAAAAACACAAAGAAAAACCCGGCGGAGAAGCACGGCACGGGGCGUGGGGGCUGCGUUCUGCCCCGCUUUUGGGGGGGAUCCAUCCUUGUGAUGAGGAACAAGCUGAAUUUGAACUCGCAGUGCAAGCACCGAGAGCCCAGUCCUGGACCAGCAGCUCUUCCUACAGGCAGCACGGAUGCAGCAGGAACACGGGAGUGACUGCAGAGCAGCUGAGCACCCUCUAAUGGGACUGUUUCAUCAUCCAAGGGGGACAAAACCAGAAGGGACCUCCCUGCUUUUGUUUCCUAGCAGGAAUUAUUAGGGAGAAUGGCACCUGGCUUUCUGAAGCCAUCUGCCAGCGUUCAUCUUUGCCUGCCUGAAUUUUUCUCAGGUCACCAGGCACUGAGUCCCUUCAGUACCCAGGAAAUCACAGGCUGGGAAGUAUUAACUGGUCCCAAUGAUGUUCAAGCACAGCCACUCUUACCACAGCCUGACCAUCUAGAAGAUCUGCUGGUAAAGGGCCAAAACCAUGGGCUGAAUGUCUGCGUCAGAGGGGCAGCAAGUGGCAGAAGAUUCCCUUGUUCAGCCUGCCCACGCACCACACAUCCACUGCUGGUUUGCUACAAAACCACCUCCUUGAUGUGAAACCACACCACGCAACAAGACACUUGUUAGCUCAGUCCAGGCUCUUCCUUCCCCUCUAUCCCUUUUGCCCUGCUACUAGCUGGAGAGAGGAAAAAAAGAAAAAAAAAAAAAAAAGGACUAUUUUUUUAACAAAUUAUAAAGGUAACCUCUAAGAAGGAAAGCUUUAAGCUUCCAAAUCUGCUUCCUUGUCUGGAAAAUGGGGCUUGUUUUCCUCACAGGUGUUUUGCACUGCAGCAAGGUUUUCCCCAGCAGGUGCUAUGGAAGGUAAACUGAUUUCUCAGGUCCAGCCUGCAAUGGGAACUGGAGAACUGCAACUGAGUGAUGGGUUCUGGCUUACGGUGGUUUUAAGCCUGAUGUCCCCAAGGCCUUAUCUGCCUGCAAGCUGCUUCAUUUCAGUCACUUAAUUCAGAUUAAGGAUGGCUUUUGCAAAACCACAAUGAUCCUAGUUGAAAUAAAUAUUCAAAUUCUGCACUAGCGUAAUUCCAUUACAGCACUACCCAGAUCCUUUCUGCAACCUGGCCGUUAAAAACUUCACCUAAAAAAGGAAGCGGGCUAAUGGCUUGCAAAAUGGUUUCCAGCCAGGGGACAGGACUGGUCUUCCUGAACCAAUUCCAGACGCUAUCGUGGGCUGGCAGACCACAAGAUGACCCCUUCCUGGGGGAGCCCGGGCAGAUGCAGCCCCCAGACUCGCCCCCAGGGCACGGCCACCAGCGCAGACGGUGCCGGAGCAGGGAACCGGCUGGGCUGUGACAUCUCGCCGUGCUUUAAAGCCUCUCCAUGGAGAUCGCGGCAGGGAGCCGGGCAUUGCACAGUUUCCCAGCCGUGCUCGCACGCCGUUAGGAGCAGCAGGAGAGCGGCAUUCCUGCCCCGAGCAGACCAAAGCCUCCCACCAGCCUUUCCCAGCAGCUCAGCCUCUGCGUGCGAGUCUGCAACUCAGAAGGGGAUUAGAGCUCAGCUGGCUCCGUUUCCCACAAGUUGAGACCAAACGCAUGGAUUUGCAAUUUGGGCACGGUUCUCCAAAGUCAGUUUACGUGUCUAUUGCACGGGCAGGCUCCAGGAACAAGACACAGCCCUUGAGGGACUGCAGGGACGUGGAUCAGACAUGCACACCCCCGUGACUCAGCAGAAAGAGCCGUCCAGAUCCUCGCGGCCCAGCGGUGCUGAGCGCGGGGAGAACAGCCCCAGCACCUUCCCCUGGUCGGAGAGCCCUGACACGUUGAGAUUAAGGCCCUCACGCUGCCUCACAUGCUUCCCUCGUGCCCACACCCCAGCUGGAAAAAGAUUAUUCCUUUUUCUUCUCAGUUGGGUAACGCGGAAGGCAUGCAAAGCCCGACACCGAAAAAUAUAUAAGACCCUAAGUUU